UUCUGGCUCAGGAUGAACGCUGGCGGCGUGCCUAACACAUGCAAGUCGAACGAAGCACUUAGACAGAACCUUCGGGUGACGUAUUGGUGACUGAGUGGCGGACGGGUGAGUAACGCGUGGGUAACCUGCCCUGUACAGGGGGAUAACAGUUAGAAAUGACUGCUAAUACCGCAUAAGCGCACGAUGGUAGCAUUACCAGGUGUGAAAAACUCCGGUGGUACAGGAUGGGCCCGCGUCUGAUUAGCUAGUUGGCGGGGUAAGAGCCCACCAAGGCGACGAUCAGUAGCCGGUCUGAGAGGAUGAACGGCCACAUUGGAACUGAGACACGGUCCAAACUCCUACGGGAGGCAGCAGUGGGGAAUAUUGCACAAUGGGGGGAACCCUGAUGCAGCAAACCGCCGCGUGAGUGACGAAGUAUUUCGGUAUGUAAAGCUCUAUCAGCAGGGAAGAUAAUGACGGUACCUGACUAAGAAGCUCCGGCUAAAUACGUGCCAGCCGCUGC
rnacentral:rRNA from 1 species